AAAUUGAAGAGUUUGAUCAUGGCUCAGAUUGAACGCUGGCGGCAGGCCUAACACAUGCAAGUCGAGCGGUAGCACAGAGAGCUUGCUCUCGGGUGACGAGCGGCGGACGGGUGAGUAAUGUCUGGGAAACUGCCUGAUGGAGGGGAUAACUACUGGAAACGGUAGCUAAUACCGCAUAACGUCGCAAGACCAAAGUGGGGACCUUCGGGCCUCAUGCCAUCAGAUGUGCCCAGAUGGGAUUAGCUAGUAGGUGGGGUAACGGCUCACCUAGGCGACGAUCCUAGCUGGUCUGAGAGGAUGACCAGCCACACUGGAACUGAGACACGGUCCAGACUCCUACGGGAGGCAGCAGUGGGGAAUAUUGCACAAUGGGCGCAAGCCUGAUGCAGCCAUGCCGCGUGUGUGAAGAAGGCCUUCGGGUUGUAAAGCACUUUCAGCGGGGAGGAAGGCGUUAAGGUUAAUAACCUUGGCGAUUGACGUUACCCGCAGAAGAAGCACCGGCUAACUCCGUGCCAGCAGCCGCGGUAAUACGGAGGGUGCAAGCGUUAAUCGGAAUUACUGGGCGUAAAGCGCACGCAGGCGGUCUGUCAAGUCGGAUGUGAAAUCCCCGGGCUCAACCUGGGAACUGCAUUCGAAACUGGCAGGCUAGAGUCUUGUAGAGGGGUAGAAUUCCGGUGUAGCGGUGAAAUGCGUAGAGAUCUGGAGGAAUACCGGUGGCGAAGGCGGCCCCUGGACAAAGACUGACGCUCAGGUGCGAAAGCGUGGGGAGCAAACAGGAUUAGAUACCCUGGUAGUCCACGCCGUAAACGAUGUCGAUUUGGAGGUUGUGCCCUUGAGGCGUGGCUUCCGGAGCUAACGCGUUAAAUCGACCGCCUGGGGAGUACGGCCGCAAGGUUAAAACUCAAAUGAAUUGACGGGGCCCGCACAAGCGGUGGAGCAUGUGGUUUAAUUCGAUGCAACGCGAAGAACCUUACCUGGUCUUGACAUCCACAGAACUUUCCAGAGAUGGAUUGGUGCCUUCGGGAACUGUGAGACAGGUGCUGCAUGGCUGUCGUCAGCUCGUGUUGUGAAAUGUUGGGUUAAGUCCCGCAACGAGCGCAACCCUUAUCCUUUGUUGCCAGCGGUUCGGCCGGGAACUCAAAGGAGACUGCCAGUGAUAAACUGGAGGAAGGUGGGGAUGACGUCAAGUCAUCAUGGCCCUUACGACCAGGGCUACACACGUGCUACAAUGGCAUAUACAAAGAGAAGCGACCUCGCGAGAGCAAGCGGACCUCAUAAAGUAUGUCGUAGUCCGGAUUGGAGUCUGCAACUCGACUCCAUGAAGUCGGAAUCGCUAGUAAUCGUAGAUCAGAAUGCUACGGUGAAUACGUUCCCGGGCCUUGUACACACCGCCCGUCACACCAUGGGAGUGGGUUGCAAAAGAAGUAGGUAGCUUAACCUUCGGGAGGGCGCUUACCACUUUGUGAUUCAUGACUGGGGUGAAGUCGUAACAAGGUAACCGUAGGGGAACCUGCGGUUGGAUCACCUCCUUA
rnacentral:rRNA from 1 species